AUAUUGGUCAAUGGGCGGGAGCCUGAACCAGCCAAGUCGCGUGAGGGAGUAAGGCCCUACGGGUCGUAAACCUCUUUUGCCGGGGAGCAGGGCGGCGGACGUGUCCGCCGUUUGAGAGUACCCGGAGAAAAAGCAUCGGCUAACUCCGUGCCAGCAGCCGCGGUAAUACGGAGGAUGCGAGCGUUAUCCGGAUUUAUUGGGUUUAAAGGGUGCGUAGGCGGGCUUUUAAGUCAGCGGUAAAAAUUCGGGGCUCAACCCCGGCCUGCCGUUGAAACUGGCGGCCUCGAGUGGGCGAGAAGUAUGCGGAAUGCGUGGUGUAGCGGUGAAAUGCAUAGAUAUCACGCAGAACUCCGAUUGCGAAGGCAGCAUACCGGCGCCCUACUGACGCUGAGGCACGAAAGCGUGGGUAUCGAACAGG
rnacentral:rRNA from 1 species